rnacentral:rRNA from 1 species
CCUACGGGAGGCAGCAGUGAGGAAUAUUGGUCAAUGGACGAGAGUCUGAACCAGCCAAGUAGCGUGAAGGAUGACUGCCCUAUGGGUUGUAAACUUCUUUUAUAUGGGAAUAAAAUGUUCCACGUGUGGGAUUUUGUAUGUACCAUAUGAAUAAGGAUCGGCUAACUCCGUGCCAGCAGCCGCGGUAAUACGGGGGGUCCUAGCGUUAUCCUGAUUUAUUGGGUUUAAAGGGAGAGGAGGUGGAUUGUUAAGUCAGUUGUGAAAUUUUGCGGCUCAACCGUAAAAUUGCAGUUGAAACUGGCAGUCUUGCGUACAGUAGAGGUGGGCGGAAUUCGUGGUGUAGCGGUGAAAUGCUUAGAUAUCACGAAGAACUCCGAUUGCGAAGGCAGCUCACUGGACUGCAACUGACACUGAGGCUCGAAAGUGUGGGUAUCAAACAGGAUUAGAUACCCUGGUAGUC